GACAGAGGAUGCAAGCGUUAUCCGGAAUGAUUGGGCGUAAAGCGUCUGUAGGUGGCUUUUCAAGUCCGCCGUCAAAUCCCAGGGCUCAACCCUGGACAGGCGGUGGAAACUACCAAGCUGGAGUACGGUAGGGGCAGAGGGCUCGUAGAGCCGGUGGAGCGGUGAAAUGCGUAGAGAUCGGGAAGAACACCAAUGGCGAAAGCACUCUGCUGGGCCGACACUGACACUGAGAGACGAAAGCUAGGGGAGCAAAUGGG
rnacentral:rRNA from 1 species